UACGUAGGGUGCAAGCGUUGUCCGGAAUCAUUGGGCGUAAAGCGCGCGUAGGUGGCUUCGUAAGUCCGUUGUGAAAGUCAAAGGCUCAACCUUUGAAAGCCGAUGGAUACUGCGGAGCUAGAGUACGGAAGAGGCGAGUGGAAUUCCUGGUGUAGCGGUGGAAUGCGCAGAUAUCAGGAGGAACACCAAUAGCGAAGGCAGCUCGCUGGGACGGUACUGACGCUAAGGCGCGAAAGCGUGGGGAGCGAACAGG
rnacentral:rRNA from 1 species